AUGGCACUGAGGGAGCUGGCCAUUGAGGGCGUGGUGAAUCCAAACAUCACAGAGCCAGGACCUCCCAGCCGAGAGACUGCGGCCAGCUGGGAAGCAGUGGAGACUGAGGAGUGGGAAGAAGGCUGGAUUUUCCUUGAUGCUAUUUUGAAAAAUGUUCAGUGUGAGGUGCAGCUGGUGGAGUUUGGUGGAGACAUGAGGCAGCCUGGAGAGUCUCUGAACCUCUCCUGUGAUGACUCUGGAUUCACUUUCAGUAGUUACUGGAUACACUGGGUUCUCCAGGCUUCAGGGAAGGGGCUUUACUACGUUGCACGAAUUAACCCUGAUAAUUUUACUAAGGGAACAAUGAACUAUGCCCAUUCCGUGAUGGUUCUAUUGACCAUCUCCAGAGACAAUUCCAAGAACACACUUUACCUGCAAAUGGACAGUCUGAGAGCUGAGGGCACUGUCCUGUAUUACUUUAUAGCAGAAAUCACUAAUCAUCUGACACUGAAUUUCAGCGAUUUGGCGGAUGGCCGCGAGAGGGCGCGAGAACCGCAGGUUCUGCCCUCCCGGCCCACCGAGCGUAGGAACCGCCUGAGGCUCGGUCGGGACCGACCUGAGCGCCGCUCCCACGGCGACAUCAGGAGCUUUGCUUCCUGCCGGGCCCACCGCCCCCGGUAG